GCAGAACUCACAAGAAGUUUAUCCAUUAUGCACAUUGUGUAUCCAGUGCGUGACCACUUUUGUACACCCCGACUGUUCUACGCAGAGAAGUUUCGCCAACGAAUUUCUAAAAGAAAUAAUUUUUCAAAAAUUACAAUUUGCCAAAGCUAAGAGAAAGAGUGCAUAACGAUCAGAACUCACUUUUGAGGAGAAUCAAGUGUGGUGUAAGAGAUAAGAAAAUUUUCCUUGACUGUUCCACGAGCAUCGGCUGUAACAAGGAAAAAAGGGAGCGACGGGUUACGUGGGAGAAGCUUUGUACAGAAAAUUGUUGAAAAUUGAGAAAAAAAUAAUAAUUUUUAAGAAAAGGAGAAAUAUUUAAAUUUGAAAAAAUAAUUGAAAAGUAAUACGUAUCAUUUAAUUUUCGCUGUAAAAUGUCCUCGGUAACCUUAUUCCUCAUGGGUAUAGCCUUUUCGAUUGUCCUCGCACUAUUGGCGAAGAGGCUGAAGUUCCUUUACGCCUUGAGGAGGAUACCCUCGCCGAUGUCUUUACCCUUGAUCGGGAAUGCGAUACAGCUGCAAUGCAGUCAGGAAGAAUUCUUUAAACGGUUGCUUCAAUGGAGUCGAGAAUUUGGUGAUAUUUUUCUUAUCUGGGUAGGCGUGCAACCAUUCAUCUUCCUCUAUCGAGUCGAGGAUAUUCAGCCAUUGCUCAGCAGCAGCGUGCAUAUAAACAAAAGCGCUGCCUAUGAGUUCCUGAGACCCUGGCUAGGCACAGGCCUAGUUACUAGCAACGGUAAGAAAUGGUAUACUCGAAGGAAGCUCAUCACACCCAGUUUCCACAGUGGACUAUUGGAACAAUAUCUAAAAAAUUCAAUUCGCGAAGCUGACAUACUUGUCACUAAACUUCGUGCAGAAGUUAACAAGAAUGGAUUCAAUAUUGUUCCAUAUGCGAAGCUUGCAGCUCUUGACGUUAUUUGCGUUAGUGCUAUGGGUUAUCAUAUCAAUGCGCAAAGUAAUUGCACGAACGAGUACGUUCUCGCUGUCGAUAAAGCCGCCAGAAUCACUCAGGAAAGAUUCGUUAAUAUCUGGAUAUCACUGGACGUGAUAUUCAAGCGAACUACUGCAGGAAAGGAAUUCAAAAAAGCAUUGGAAAUAAUGGAUAGGUUCACGGAGAAAGUAAUCACUGGCAGAAAAGCAGAAUGGAGAUCGAAGAGAGAUGGAAACUUUAAUGAAUUCCCAAAGAAACGAAAAGCUUUGUUAGACAUGUUACUGGAAAUGUCCGACGACGGCAAAAUUUUAUCGGACGAGGAUAUCAGGGAGGAAGUAAAUACUUUUAUGUUUGCCGGGCAUGAUACAGUAGCUACAAGUGUUUCCUGGAUUCUUUAUGCACUUGGAAGAUUUCCAAAAUAUCAGAACCUCAUUCUUGAGGAAUACGACAGAAUUAUCGGAUCGAAUGAUAUCACUUUGGAAGAUUUAAAUAAAUUGGAUUGGCUGGAAGCAUGCAUCAAGGAAUCUUGGCGACUUUAUCCAGUAACGCCUCUCAUAGCAAGACAAAUAUCUGAUCCAUUACGUUUGAGAGACACAGAUAUACCAUCGGGAUCGACAAUUCUGAUAAAUUCGUAUAUCCUCAAUCGGGAUCCUCGACAUUACACCCAACCGGAAAUGUAUUAUCCAGAACGCUUCCUGCCGGACAAGCCGAAACCGCCGCCUUUUGCUUUCAUACCGUUUAGUGCUGGUUCGCGUAACUGCAUCGGUGCAAAGUUUGCACUGAUAGAAGUGAAGGUCAUGAUUUUACGAAUCCUUAAUGCGUAUAAUAUACAUUCGUUAGACAGUGAAGAUAAGCUGCGACUCACGGCCGAAUUGGUGCUUGCGAACACUGGUGGACUUCGUUUGGCGAUAACUCCACGACAUUCGCCAGCUUGAUGAUAAAAAUGACAUUUUCAUUAAUUAGAGAAAUGAAAAUGGAUGAACUAAGGCUGCAUAAUAAUUUUUUUUUACCGACACAUUUUGGCACACAAUGAAACACUCGUGUUUCAUUUAUGGCUUAUCGACUUUGCGCACCAAGGGUAGCAGGCUACGACCAAUGGGCAAAGAGGAUCGAGCUGAAACGUCGUAAACCAGAACCAAAGCAUCUUGCAAAGCCAUAAAUGAAAAACGAGUGUGUCGAAGUGCGUCGAUAAAAGAAAAACACCCAAUUUGUAGAAGAAUUUCAUUUUUCGAAAUUUACCAAGCAAUAAUCGACUGAAGGAUUAACUGCAUACUCAAAGAAUCGAUGCGGAAAUCUACGUAUAUAUUACUGAUUAAUUGAUAAUUAUUAUUAAGGCAAACAUAAAAUAUUUUACUCAUAGAUAUAUCUUUCUCACCGUCGAUAUACCGAAUAUUACAAAAAAAAUAAUUGUGAUUAUUAUACAUGAAUUGUAUAUUACAUAUAAGUCUAUAUGAUAACUUAAUUAUUAUAUAAUUCUAAUGAAUUGCUUCGACAUUGAGUGACAUCAUUUACAUAUUUAUAAAUAAAUAAAAAUAAAUUAUCAGUGAAUAGACAUUUUACUGCACGUUCAUAAAAUCGUCGAAGUAGCUGUAUAUGACGAAAAACUCGAAAUUCUUACCAGUAAAGAAUAAUUACUCCUAAGCUUUCAAUACAUACUUAUGUUUCAAUAAUAUUAAUCCAACAGAAUUGCGAGCAAACAAUCGAAAUCAAAUGAAAAACUGCGAACACAUCGUGACAAUUUCGCUCUCCUUUCUUGAAGCUCUUAUCACAUCACUAGUAUAACUAGUGGAUUUGCGUUCACUGGCGUUCGUUCAAACUUUGAUAACGUUAUAGUCAAUUUUCGGCGAUAGUUGGAUUUUGGUGAAAUUGUUGUUAAAUCUGAGUAUAUUUUAAGUGCUUUCACAGAAAAAUCACUUAAAUUGACAGUUCUUUUGUGCAAUUUAUCUUUAACUUUUAUAUGAUCAAUUAGGGUACAAUUUUAGUACCUACAUUUAAACUGGAAUCAACCUGGGAAAUCAGACAUCUAAUACAAGCUAAUAAUGAUGCUUAGGGACUGAUAAGAUAUACCUAAUCGUGGUAUCAUGUCGAUAGUUGAACAGCAGAAAUAACAAC